GUAGUAUCUAGUACAAGUUUUUUUAUGAUGAGAAGUUUAUAAAAACUAUAUCUAGUGUUAUGGGUUAUGAAUGUCCUUACCCACGUAUCUUUCGGCCUUGGCUAGCGCCUGAUGAUUGUGAAAUUGUGAUUCCUGUGAUACAUCUGCGAUUAUGUCUCUGUUGGUCGCUCAUCUCUGCGAUCUGAUCUGAUCUGCCACACCCCCAUGUUGCCACCAAGGCGCAACAGCGCACACACCAAAGCGUCAACGUCGCCGGCCAGCCGGCCGGCCUGCCACCCCAUAUAAUCACCGGCCUCCGCUGCUCGCACCUUCCUGCCCUACCUGACGCUUUCAGAGACCCAGACCCAGUCACCAAAUCGAUCGGUCCUUGCCAUAGGACCUGAUUAGAGUGAUUCUUCCAUGGAUGAUUAGAAACUACAGAUUGGGGCGUGCUGAAACGUGCCGCCUGGGAACAAGCUAACAACAGUAUAGUUUAUAGUAUACAUAUUAGGCCUCCUCCAGCGGUCGACGAUAUCGACCGAUUACAUCAGAUUUUUGAUGACGUGGAGCUGAGAAAAGGGAAUAAAUCCUCUAGCUGGCGACGAUUUCUUCGCUAGUCUCGAACAAAAAACGAGGACGCCAAGAGUCGGUAUUAUCGUCAACAAUAUCUUUUGCUCUAUCGAUAACAGAUCCGAUGCGCCUUCCUUCCCAAAUCCUUGACGCAUCGUCUCCCUCCCACCCCGGAUGCGCGCGCCAAUUCCCUCGCCAAAUCCUCUCUCUUGCCUUGCCUACGCGCCAAUUUCUCUCCUGCCAUCCCUCGGGUGACUGCGCUCUCUCUUCUAUUUUUUCUCCUUCGUUUUCCCCCCUGCUCGACGGAUCUCGUUCCUCGCUGAUUGCUGGGGCUAUCGACGAAGGCUGCAGCAACCUAGCCCUUCCAUGCAUGGGCGAUGCACGCUGCAAGAUGAGCCGCAGGUCUAGGCGAGAAGUAGCGCCGCCACCGCCGGCAGCGACGGCAACAGCGGCUGCAGAUGUUGCUGGGUGUUUUGACAGUAGCAUUGCUGCCUCCGUUCAGAUCGAUGGUGCCAUGGAUGUGCCUCCGAAAGCCCAACCAGCAUGGACGAACGGACCCAUGCCAAAAACCAAUUCGUUUGGUUAUGCAUCAGCACCAGAUUGUGGUAUGGACUUGCGCCAAUUCUUGGGUUAUUUUCAAAUUGGUCAGCAACCAUUCAUUCGACCACAUCCAAAUGUUUCAUUCCCACCACCAUGGCCACCUACAGCACCAACGACCAAUUCAGGCACAUCGAAGUCAAAUUCCAAAACUGUCAUUAACGUAGACGAUGGUGAUGAUGUUAGAACUGCAAAGCGUCUCCCCUAUGAAAUAGAUGAGGACUCACGACUGGUGAGUGCAUGGUUGUACCACUCAAAUGACCCGAUCAAUGGGAAUUGCAAGAGAAAUGAGAGUUACUGGGCAGAUGUGGUUGAACUAUACAAUAGCACAACACAUGUCAAUCAUAAAAGAGAAGUAAAGCAUCUCAAAGAUCGAUAGCAAAGAAUUAAAAGAAUAGUUAGAUAUUUCUGUGCCUCUUGGACAAAGGCCACCUCAAUUUAUACUAGUGGAUAUUCAGAAGACCAGCUGAAAGAUAUAGCACUUAAAUUUUAUUUGGAUGACUAUCCUAAAAAAGGCCCAUUCACACUUCUGCAUUGUUGGAAGAUUCUUCGUGAUGAACCCAAAUGGCAUGCAAUCUUGGAGGAGCCUGAUAAGUCAAACAAAAGGAGUUGGGAUGAUGGAGACACAGUAAGAUUAGAAGAUAUUGGAGAAAAGGAACGUCCAAUGGGGAGGAAUGAAGCUAAAAAACAACGAAACAACAAAGGAAAAUUCAAAGAUGAUGACCCUAGUUUACAUGAAGAAAUGAAGAAGUACAUGGAUAUUCAAGUUGUAGCUAGCAAAAGACAUGAAGAAUUUAUAGAGACCCAACAACGUAUUUCUGAUGCAAAAGUUGAGGCAGCAAGGCUUAGGAGGGAGUUUGUUUUGCUGAAAUCAUAUCAAAAAUUAUUGACCAUGGACACCAGUCAAAUGACUGAUGAUAUGAAAGCUGAGCACGUGAUAGGCUUGAAGAUUUUGAAGGACAAGCUACUAGGCAACACUAAGGAGGCGAAUAUUAGGGAUCAUGUUCUUCUGCUCAGGAGGUCAACAUUGUCUAUCUUUUGGUGAUUUUCACUUGUGUCUAAGGUUGCCCAGCGUUUGGUGGUCUUCUUCAAUGAAUGAUUAAGCACUUGUGCUUGCCGUCUAGCUUGUAGCUACUUUUGCUUAAUGAAUGAAAUUAGCAGUUGUAUCUGGAUAUCAUCCGUCUAGCUUGUAGCUGCUUUUGUUUAAGGAAUGAAAUUAUCGUUUGUAUCUGUCUGAUGCUUUCCAGAAUAUGCCUAUCAACUCUCUUUUGUGACCAUAUAAUACCCUAUUGUGUUACCUAGUUGUUGUGCAAGUAGUACAAUAUUCUUCAGCAUCUGACAGAAUUGCACU